UGCCCGCGCACACCCACCCGUUACGGCAGGAGCGGGGGACCCACAGGUACAACUGCCUGUUCCGGUCUCUGGAACGGCUUGGGGUACAGCCGCGCCACGGCGCGGCCGGGCAUCUCCAGCCCGCACCCGACAGCUCACCUCGCAGGCGACGGAGAGGAAUU
rnacentral:sRNA from 2 species